AGCUCUCAUAAUUCAACAUACCUAGAUGCAUUAUGUCAAAUAAUAAUCAAAUCUCAUGCAAUCCCGCAUUCUCUUGCCCUUGAAAGUUGGUAAAUGAUUUAAGCAACUCAUUAAAUGAGUUUCCAUUCAUAUUCAACCUGCGGAGUCUAGAACAUAACUUUAAUCUCAAUUUAUCCAAAUUUACACAAGAAGUUUCCGCCAUCAAACAUAAUCCAGAGCACCAAGUAGAAAUGUAACAAUAUAUCACAUUGGCAUAAGACCAGAUCCUAUUACAUAUUUUACCCCCUGGCCUUUAGGUCUGCAAGACGCCUUGACAAAUCAUCCUCAUCAACCUUCUCUUCUGACUUGGUUGCCACCGCAUGUGCAGCAGGCUGUGGGAGCCCAACAGAGACCUCCAAUCCGUAGUCAUCAGCUACUUGCUGCAUCAAGUUGUUGACCUCACCCUCAGGCGUGGAUAAUGAGGUGGAUCCAGCCAUUGCAUUCUCCAUGAAUUCUGCCUGGACCUCCAUGUUUACAAACUGUUUCUCAAAUUGAUCCAUAGUCUCUGACAUCUUCUGCAAAUUACCUGCAGCCAAGGAUGAUUCAAAAUAUAAUCACCACAUCGCAAAUUCAGUCAUAAAAGAAUUGCCUGCCAGAGAACAGCAACACACAGUAAAACACCCACGACAACAACAAUAAAUCAACUAGCAUUUUCUUAGGGUAGAUGACAGAAGUAAAAUGAGCUUCAAAAUUUUGAAGUUUUGAGUUUCCAUGCAUCCCCUUUUCAUUAUCGACACCUUUCUCACAGGUCAUCACUAGACCCAUGAAAAAAAAAUCAACAACAGAACAGAAGCAAAAAUAAACAACUCAAAAAAAAAAAGCUUGCAAAUUCCUAAAACGUAAGUUUUUGAAAGAUAAACCCUCAUCAAGCAUCCAGCAUGAUACCGUAGUAACUUAUAGGGUCAAUUAUGAUCAAUUGACAAAAUCCAAGAAAAAUACAAAUCUCUCUAGGCCCAGAUCCAGCAUUAUACAAUCGCGAUCAAGCUUUACUUUUCCACAAUUGACAUUACUCAUUUAUUGACAGAUUGGUUGAUAAGCAAAAAAUCCAAAAUUUUGAAAAAUCAAAAACAUAAUAUUUCCAAAAUCAACAAACCGCAAUUCAUCAAUUAUAAACAAUAAUAAAAGAAUUACCAGUAGCUAGAGAAGACUCCAGCGAUUUAACGAUGGAGGCCAUGGACUUGUUAAUGGUGGUCAUCUUAGCCUGCGUAUCGAGCCUAGCGACGACGGCAUCGAGCCUAGACGCAAGCCUGAGGUAGUUCAUCUGCUCGGUCCUCUUACGGAUGGCGUUCUCGGCGUAGAUCCGUGCCCCAUCCACGUUCCCCUUCUCGAUCGCCUUCUUGACCUUUAAUUUCUCGGACUUCUCUUCCUUCUCGCACUUUCGGGCCUGCCUUUGCAGCGAUUUCGAGGUGAACUUGAGGUCCAUGAUCUGAUUCAAAAGUUUCUCCGUGUUACCCAUGCCUGGAAAUCAGAAAAAUUAGAAAUUCUAGGGUUUUAGUUUUGUGAAUUUAGACAAGAUCCCAAAUAGGAUUUGGCUAUCGAGAAAAAUAAGAAAUUCUAGGGUUUUUAGUUUUGUGAAUUUAGAGAAGAUCCCGAAUAGGAUUUGGGUAUUGAAGAGUUUGUUUGGCGCUGCGGA
rnacentral:misc_RNA from 1 species